rnacentral:rRNA from 1 species
UACGUAGGGGGCAAGCGUUGUCCGGAAUCAUUGGGCGUAAAGAGCGUGUAGGCGGCCAGAUAAGUCCGCUGUGAAAUCUCGAGGCUCAACUUCGAGCUGUCGGUGGAAACUGUCUGGCUAGAGUCCGGAAGAGGAGAAUGGAAUUCCUGGUGUAGCGGUGAAAUGCGCAGAUAUCAGGAAGAACACCAAUGGCGAAGGCAGCUCUCUGGGACGGUACUGACGCUGAGACGCGAAAGCGUGGGGAGCAAACGGG